UUCGCAAUGCCCGAAAGGGUGACGAAGCGACGCCGCGUGCGGGAAGAAGGCCUUCGGGUUGUAAACCGCUGUCGGGAGUUAAGAAAUGCAAGGGUGUUAACAGCAUUCUUGCUUGACUAAGGCUCCGGAGGAAGCCACGGCUAACUCUGUGCCAGCAGCCGCGGUAAUACAGAGGCGGCAAGCGUUGUUCGGAAUUAUUGGGCGUAAAGAGCACGUAGGCGGCUGUGUAAGUCGGUUGUGAAAGCCUUCCGCUCAACGGAAGAACGGCAUCCGAUACUGCAUGGCUAGAGUGCGGGAGGGGGGAGUGGAACUUCUGGUGGAGCGGUGAAAUGCGUAGAUAUCAGAAGGAACACCGGCGGCGAAAGCGACUCUCUGGCCCGUAACUGACGCUGAGUGUGCGAAAGCUAGGGGAGCAAACGGGAUUAGAUACCCCGGUAGUCCUAGCCGUAAACGAUGGGCACUAAGUAGAGGGGUUUU
rnacentral:rRNA from 1 species